CCGCCACAACGUUUCGGUGGCAACAAUUCCCUCGCGCCAAUCGAUAGAUCCUCUCAAGCCACUUGGCAACUAGCAGGGCCUCACCUGUCACCACACCUAGGAAAUUGUUUCGCCAUCCGGCAUUAGCUAGCCAGCCAGUAACCAAAGAUGGUAUAAUGGCUGAUGGUUUGAUUAUUUCCUUUUAGUAUGUCACAUCUACCGGAUGACACAGACAAUUUGUCUCUACCCAGUUCUC